rnacentral:rRNA from 1 species
GUGGGGAAUAUUGCACAAUGGGCGAAAGCCUGAUGCAGCAACGCCGCGUGAGUGAUGAAGGUCUUCGGUUUGUAAAGCUCUGUCUUCUGGGACGACAAUGACGGUACCAGAGGAGGAAGCCACGGCUAACUACGUGCCAGCAGCCGCGGUAAUACGUAGGUGGCAAGCGUUGUCCGGAUUUACUGGGCGUAAAGGGUGCGCAGGCGGAUAUUUAAGUGGGAUGUGAAAUCCCCGGGCUUAACCUGGGGGCUGCAUUCCAAACUGGAUAUCUAGAGUGCAGGAGAGGAGAAUGGAAUUCCUAGUGUAGCGGUGAAAUGCGUAGAGAUUAGGAAGAACACCAGUGGCGAAGGCGAUUCUCUGGACUGUAACUGACGCUGAGGCACGAAAGCGUGGGUAGCAAACAGGAUUAGAUACCCGAGUAGUCC